rnacentral:snRNA from 1 species
UAUGACAUUGGUGUAGCCGCAGGGCCUCCUUCGAGACCCGAAGAAAAAUUUUUGGAAGUCCAUAACGGACUG